CAGGAUGGGGGUAAAGGAGCGUCCUCAGUGCUACUUUGAUGUGGAGAUCAACAGAGAACCAGUUGGACGUAUAGUCUAUCAACUGUUCUCCGAUGUCUGUCCCAAGACUAGCAAAAACUUCCUCAGUUUGUGCACUGGAGAAACCAGAGCGGCUGAAAGGACUGUCUGCUGGAUCUCUAGCGCUGCUGUAUUGAUUGGAAAGCACUCACUAUUCUGGAGAUUC